UACGAAGGGGGCGAGCGUUGUUCGGAAUUACUGGGCUUAAAGCGUGCGUAGGCGGAUAUACAAGUUGGGAGUGAAAUCCCAGGGCUUAACCCUGGAAUUGCUCUCAAAACUGUAAAUCUAGAAUCCGGUAGAGGUUAAUGGAAUGUCCAGUGUAGAGGUGAAAUUCGCAGAUAUUGGACGGAACACCAGUGGCGAAGGCGAUUAACUGGGCCGGUAUUGACGCUGAGGUACGAAAGCGUGGGUAGCAAACAGG
rnacentral:rRNA from 1 species